UACGUAGGUGGCAAGCGUUGUCCGGAUUUACUGGGCGUAAAGAGCGCGCAGGCGGUCGUUCAAGUCGCGUGUGAAAGCCCCCGGCUCAACUGGGGAGGGUCACGCGAUACUGAUCGACUCGAAGGCAGGAGAGGGUAGUGGAAUUCCCGGUGUAGUGGUGAAAUUCGUAGAUAUUCGCAAGAACACCAGUGGCGAAGGCGGCUCACUGGCCCGGUACUGACGCUGAGGCACGAAAGCGUGGGGAGCAAACAGG
rnacentral:rRNA from 1 species